rnacentral:rRNA from 1 species
UACAGAGGUCCCAAGCGUUGUUCGGAGUUACUGGGCGUAAAGGGUGUGUAGGCGGUUGCUUAAGUUUGGUGUGAAAUCUCCCGGCUCAACUGGGAGGGUGCGCCGAAUACUGAGUGACUCGAGUGCGGGAGAGGAGAGUGGAAUUCCUGGUGUAGCGGUGAAAUGCGUAGAUAUCAGGAGGAACACCGGCGGUGUAGACGGCUUACUGGACCAUGACUGACGCUGAGGCACGAAAGCGUGGGGAGCAAACAGG